GCGGCGGUCGUCUAGCCUGGAUUAGGACGCCGGCCCCCCAAGCCGGUGAUCCCGGGUUCAAAUCCCGGCCGCCGCACCA
rnacentral:tRNA from 2 species